rnacentral:rRNA from 1 species
GCGAAUGGUGGAUGCCUUGACUGGUAAAGGCGAUGAAGGACGUACUAGACUGCGAUAAGCUACGGGGAGCUGUCAAGAAGCUUUGAUCCGUAGAUUUCCGAAUGGGGCAACCCAAUGUAUAGAGAUAUACAUUACCUAUAUAGGAGCGAACGAGGGGAAUUGAAACAUCUUAGUACUCUCAGGAAAAGAAAUCAAUAGAGAUUGCGUCAGUAGCGGCGAGCGAAAGCGCAAGAGGGCAAACCCAGUGCUUGCACUGGGGGUUGUAGGACUGCAAUGUGCAAGAGCUGAGUUUAGCAGAACAUUCUGGAAAGUAUAGCCAUAGAGGGUGAUAGUCCCGUAUGCGAAAAACAAAGCUUAGCUAGCAGUAUCCUGAGUAGGGCGGGACACGAGAAAUCCUGUCUGAAUCCGGGUCGACCACGAUCCAACCCUAAAUACUAAUACCAGAUCGAUAGUGCACAAGUACCGUGAGGGAAAGGUGAAAAGAACUGAGGUGAUCAGAGUGAAAUAGAACCUGAAACCAUUUGCUUACAAUCAUUCAGAGCCCUAUGUAGCAAUACAGGGUGAUGGACUGCCUUUUGCAUAAUGAGCCUGCGAGUUGUGGUGUCUGGCAAGGUUAAGCAAACGCGAAGCCGUAGCGAAAGCGAGUCUGAAUAGGGCGCUUAGUCAGAUGCUGCAGACCCGAAACGAAGUGAUCUAUCCAUGAGCAAGUUGAAGCUAGUGUAAGAACUAGUGGAGGACUGAACCCAUAGGCGUUGAAAAGCCCCGGGAUGACUUGUGGAUAGGGGUGAAAGGCCAAUCAAACUUCGUGAUAGCUGGUUCUCUCCGAAAUAUAUUUAGGUAUAGCGUUGUGUCGUAAUAUAAGGGGGUAGAGCACUGAAUGGGCUAGGGCAUACACCAAUGUACCAAACCCUAUCAAACUCCGAAUACCUUAUAUGUAAUCACAGCAGUCAGGCGGCGAGUGAUAAAAUCCGUCGUCAAGAGGGAAACAACCCAGACUACCAGCUAAGGUCCCUAAAUCUUACUUAAGUGGAAAACGAUGUGAAGUUACUUAAACAACCAGGAGGUUGGCUUAGAAGCAGCCAUCCUUUAAAGAAAGCGUAAUAGCUCACUGGUCUAGUGAUUUUGCGCGGAAAAUAUAACGGGGCUAAAGU